rnacentral:rRNA from 1 species
UACGAAGGGGGCUAGCGUUGCUCGGAAUCACUGGGCGUAAAGGGCGCGUAGGCGGCGGGGUAAGUCGGGUGUGAAAUCUCAGAGCUCAACUCUGAAACUGCACUCGAUACUGCUCUGCUUGAGGACUGGAGAGGAGACUGGAAUUCACGGUGUAGCAGUGAAAUGCGUAGAUAUCGUGAGGAAGACCAGUGGCGAAGGCGGGGUCUCUGGACAGUUCCUGACGCUGAGACGGCGAAAGCGUGGGGAGCAAACAGGG